GCCAGGUGCAGUGGUGCGUGCCUAUAGCCCCAGUUACUCAGGAGCCCGAGGCAGGAGGAUCGCUUGAGUCCAGGAGUUCUGGGCUGGUGCACUAUGCCAAUGGAGUGUCGCACUAAGUUUGGCAUCCAUAUGGUGACCUCCUAGGAGCGGGGGACCACCAGGUUGCCUAAGGAGGGGUGAACCGGGCCAAGUGGGAAAUGCAGCAGGUCAAAACUCCCAUGCUGAUCAAGAAAUCUGAAUGCUUUUCACGUUAUCAAAAAUAUUAAAUGUAAAAUACUACUGCUGAAAGAAUUUUUUUGUU
rfam:Chlorocebus sabaeus isolate 1994-021 chromosome 17, whole genome shotgun sequence.